rnacentral:rRNA from 1 species
GAUGAACGCUAGCGACAGGCCUAACACAUGCAAGUCGAGGGGCAGCAUGAAAUUAGCUUGCUAAUUUUGAUGGCGACCGGCGCACGGGUGAGUAACACGUAUGCAACCUGCCUGUAAGCGGGGGAUAACCCGGAGAAAUUCGGACUAAUACCGCAUAAUAUCAUCGAAUCGCAUGUUUUGAUGAUUAAAAAUUUAUUGCUACAGAUGGGCAUGCGUAUGAUUAGCUAGUUGGCGGGGUAACGGCCCACCAAGGCGACGAUCAUUAGGGGUUCUGAAAGGAAGGUCCCCCACAUUGGAACUGAGACACGGUCCAAACUCCUACGGGAGGCAGCAGUGAGGAAUAUUGGUCAAUGGACGCAAGUCUGAACCAGCCAUGUCGCGUGAAGGAUGACUGUCCUAUGGAUUGUAAACUUCUUUUAUAUGGGGAUAAAGUGUGAGACUUGUCUCAUUUUGCAUGUACCAUAUGAAUAAGCAUCGGCUAACUCCGUGCCAGCAGCCGCCGCAGUAA